AUUUGGUAACAAGGUCUCCGUUGGUGAACCAGCGGAGGGAUCAUUACCGAGUUUACAACUCCCAAACCCCUGUGAACAUACCUUAUGUUGCCUCGGCGGAUCAGCCCGCGCCCCGUAAAAAGGGACGGCCCGCCGCAGGAACCCUAAACUCUGUUUUUAGUGGAACUUCUGAGUAUAAAAAACAAAUAAAUCAAAACUUUCAACAACGGAUCUCUUGGUUCUGGCAUCGAUGAAGAACGCAGCAAAAUGCGAUAAGUAAUGUGAAUUGCAGAAUUCAGUGAAUCAUCGAAUCUUUGAACGCACAUUGCGCCCGCCAGUAUUCUGGCGGGCAUGCCUGUUCGAGCGUCAUUUCAACCCUCAAGCCCAGCUUGGUGUUGGGAGCUGCAGUCCUGCUGCACUCCCCAAAUACAUUGGCGGUCACGUCGAGCUUCCAUAGCGUAGUAAUUUACAUAUCGUUACUGGUAAUCGUCGCGGCCACGCCGUUAAACCCCAACUUCUGAAUGUUGACCUCGGAUCAGGUAGGAAUACCCGCUGAACUUAAGCAUAUCAAUA
rnacentral:rRNA from 1 species